rnacentral:rRNA from 1 species
AGACUUUGAUCCUGGCUCAGGAUGAACGCUGGCGGCGUGCCUAACACAUGCAAGUCGAGCGAUUCUCUUAGGAGAAGAGCGGCGGACGGGUGAGUAACGCGUGGGUAACCUGCCCUGUACACACGGAUAACAUACCGAAAGGUAUGCUAAUACGGGAUAACAUAUUUUGAUGGCAUCAUCGAAAUAUCAAAGCUCCGGCGGUACAGGAUGGACCCGCGUCUGAUUAGCUAGUUGGUGAGGUAAUGGCUCACCAAGGCGACGAUCAGUAGCCGACCUGAGAGGGUGAUCGGCCACAUUGGAACUGAGACACGGUCCAAACUCCUACGGGAGGCAGCAGUGGGGAAUAUUGCACAAUGGGCGAAAGCCUGAUGCAGCAACGCCGCGUGAGCGAUGAAGGCCUUCGGGUCGUAAAGCUCUGUCCUCAAGGAAGAUAAUGACGGUACUUGAGGAGGAAGCCCCGGCUAACUACGUGC